rnacentral:rRNA from 1 species
UACAGAGGUCUCAAGCGUUGUUCGGAAUUACUGGGCGUAAAGCGUGUGUAGGCGGCCAUGUAAGUCGGGUGUGAAAGCCCCGGGCUUAACCCGGGAAGUGCACUCGAAACUGCGUGGCUUGAGUAUCGGAGAGGUUGAUGGAAUUCUCGGUGUAGAGGUGAAAUUCGUAGAUAUCGAGAGGAACACCGGUGGCGAAGGCGGCCAACUGGACGAAUACUGACGCUGAGACACGAAAGCGUGGGGAGCAAACAGG